ACCGCCGCCGCGUUCGGGAAAGGAGAGGCGUUGGAUUCUUCCCGAGCUGUGUGACCUCGGUUGCCCUGAGAGCGCCGGUCCCAGUCGCUGUGGACACCCGAGACGUCCCUACUAAAUCUCCUCGUGCACUAGCUUGGAUGUCUUCUAGAAUUUGCGAGCUGAUAGGUGAUUGGAGGCUCCUACCCUGUGCUCAAGCUUCUGUGGAGUCCUGGGUGAUGGAAGCAGAAGCUCCCAAGCCAGGCAUCUCCUUUCCUCCCCUGCUCAGGUUGCCUUCCGGUACCCACAGCAACAUCUCAGCGCUCUGACAGUUACAUCCGCUAUUUCUUUAGAUGGAGCCUCUUGCCUGCAGCCUGUCUUGCCAGACCAGGCUGCAUGCACAGUGAGCCUCAACCACACAUAGAGGUUCACCCCUGUAACCCGCACUCCAGGAGGACUCCUGCGUGUUUGAGACGAACAUGAGUAAAAUAGUGAGUUUCGAGUCAACCUGGGCUAAAUGAGGAGACCCUGCCUCAAAACAACAAAAUCCACUCAGCCACAGGUUCCAGGGUAGUCUGCUAUACGUAGCAAGACUCUCAAAAGUUUGGCUGGUUGGUUGGCUUUUCGAGAAAGGGUUUCUCUGUGUAGCCUUAUCUGUCCUGGAGUUCACUCUAUAGACCAGGCUGCCCUCGAACUCACAGAGAACCUCCUGUGAUUAAAGGUGUGUGCCUCCACCACCCCGCCACACCAAGUGUUUGUAACUGCUCAGUUAUCUUCAUACCUUCUUAAAACUGCCUGAUACUUAUUCAAUAACCCUGAACUCACCCCCUACUCUUUGCCAGGUGUUAUGCUAAUUAAGCUUGAGAAUUACAAAGGAUCAUCCCUCUCUACACAGCAUGUCGUAUGUAAACAAAAUACAUCGAUACAUCGUGAUAAAUAUCAUGACAGACACAUUGCAAGGAAUCAUACAGACACACAGCUUUGGAAUACAGAGUGGUUACCUAAGACUUUCUUGUCUAGGGAAACUGGCUGACGCAAGAAAGACAGAUGGCAGCUGGCAAGAAAGAUGGGUCUCAGACUCUCCCUACAUCCAGUUGGCCCUGAAAUAAUGACAGAUCAAAGCCUGGACUUUUCCUUCACACCUUGUUCCUGUUUCCCCAGCACCAUGGUGGCCAGCAGGACAGGAGCGAGGAAGAAGGCAGUUGAGCCAUUUGUCAAGUGAGAUUGGUGUGGUGUGGAAGCUCCAGCUGUGGCCAGCAUUAAAGACAUUAGAAAAUAUCAGUCACGAGGACUCAGGGGAGCAAGACUGCAUGUGAUGGCCUCCAGGGUCCUGUGUCUGAAGUGAGCCUACUGAGCCUUGCUGAUGUACAGCAUGGCAA